rnacentral:sRNA from 1 species
AUUGUUUUUGAUUAUCCGUAUUUUCUGAAAAUAACACAGAGCGAAUUACAGGCUAUUUGUUAUUUUAGGAUUAAGCUCAAUAUAGAAGUUAGCGUCAAAACACAGACAACAGGAAUUAUCCGAUAAAAAAAUGCCGGCAUUCCGCCGGCAUUUAUUACGUAA